rnacentral:rRNA from 1 species
UUGGACAAUGGGCGAAAGCCUGAUCCAGCAACGCCGCGUGAGGGAUGACGGCCUUCGGGUUGUAAACCUCUUUCAGCAGGGACGAAGCGCAAGUGACGGUACCUGCAGAAGAAGCACCGGCCAACUACGUGCCAGCAGCCGCGGUAAUACGUAGGGUGCGAGCGUUGUCCGGAAUUAUUGGGCGUAAAGGGCUCGUAGGCGGUCUGUCGCGUCGGGAGUGAAAACUCAGGGCUUAACCCUGAGCCUGCUUCCGAUACGGGCAGACUAGAGGUAUGCAGGGGAGAACGGAAUUCCUGGUGUAGCGGUGAAAUGCGCAGAUAUCAGGAGGAACACCGGUGGUGAAGGCGGUUCUCUGGGCAUUACCUGACGCUGAGGAGCGAAAGUGUGGGGAGCGAACAGGAUUAGAUACCCUGGUAGUCCACACCGUAAACGUUGGGCGCUAGGUGUGGGACUCAUUCCACGAGUUCCGUGCCGCACUAACGCAUUAAGCGCCCCGCCUGGGGAGUACGGCCGCAAGGCUAAAACUCAAAGGAAUUGACGGGGGCCCGCACAAGCGGCGGAGCAUGCGGAUUAAUUCGAUGCAACGCGAAGAACCUUACCUGGGUUUGACAUAUGGAGAAAUCCCCUAGAGAUAGGGGGUCCGUAAGGGCUCUAUACAGGUGGUGCAUGGCUGUCGUCAGCUCGUGUCGUGAGAUGUUGGGUUAAGUCCCGCAACGAGCGCAACCCUCGUCUUAUGUUGCCAGCACGUAAUGGUGGGGACUCAUAAGAGACUGCCGGGGUCAACUCGGAGGGAGGUGGGGAUGACGUCAAGUCAUCAUGCCCCUUAUGUCCAGGGCUUCACGCAUGCUACAAUGGCCGGUACAAAGGGCUGCGAAACCGCAAGGUAGAGCGAAUHCCAAAAAGCCGGUCUCAGUUCGGAUUGGGGUCUGCAACUCGACCCCAUGAAGUCGGAGUCGCU